rnacentral:rRNA from 1 species
UACGUAGGGGGCUAGCGUUGUCCGGAUUUAUUGGGCGUAAAGAGCGUGUAGGCGGCCAGGUAGGUCUGCUGUGAAAACUCGAGGCUUAACCCCGGGCCUGCAGUGGGUACGGGCAGACUAGAGUGCGGUAGGAGAGACUGGAAUUCCUGGUGUAGCGGUGAAAUGCGCAGAUAUCAGGAGGAACACCGGUGGCGAAGGCGGGUCUCUGGGCCGUAACUGACGCUGAGGAGCGAAAGCGUGGGGAGCGAACAGG